UUUCCGUAGGUGAACCUGCGGAAGGAUCAUUACCAAAACUUAGCUGCUCCAGUUCAGGCUGGUUGCACGCUUCAACCCUUUGUGAACCAAAAACAUUUACGCUUCGGCAGCUGGUUUCAGCUGUAAGCCUGCCGAUGGCACCCAUUUAAACCUGUCUUUAAAUAUUUGUCUGAACUAAACAUUUUCGAAUGAAAAUUAAAACUUUCAACAACGGAUCUCUUGGUUCUGGCAUCGAUGAAGAACGCAGC
rnacentral:misc_RNA from 1 species